AUUGAACGCUGGCGGCAGGCCUAACACAUGCAAGUCGAGCGGAUGAAGGGAGCUUGCUCCUGGAUUCAGCGGCGGACGGGUGAGUAAUGCCUAGGAAUCUGCCUGGUAGUGGGGGAUAACGUCCGGAAACGGGCGCUAAUACCGCAUACGUCCUGAGGGAGCAAGUUGGGGAUCUUCGGACCUCACGCUCUCAGAUGAGCCUAGGUCGGAUUAGCUAGUUGGUGGGGUAAAGGCCUACCAAGGCGACGAUCCGUAACUGGUCUGAGAGGAUGAUCAGUCACACUGGAACUGAGACACGGUCCAGACGCCUAAGGGAGGCAGCAGUGGGGAAUAUUGGACAAUGGGCGAAAGCCUGAUCCAGCCAUGCAGCGUGUGUGAAGAAGGUCUUCGGAUUGUAAAGAACUUUAAGUUGGGAGGAAGGGCAGUAAGUUAAAACCUUGCUGUUGUGGCGUUACCAACAGAAUAAGCACCGGCUAACUUCGUG
rnacentral:rRNA from 1 species